rnacentral:rRNA from 1 species
GCCCAGAUCGUUGAAGGCUUUAGGUAUAGGACCGGUAGGCAAAUCCGCCGGUCUUGCUGAAGGCUGAUAGUACCGCAAACCUUCGGGGGCGUGGAUAGUGCAGGUAAUCAGACUUCCAAGAAAAACCGCUAAGCUUCAGGUUAUAAAAACCCGUACCGCAAACCGACACAGGUAUCCGGGAAGAGAAUUCUAAGGCGCUCGAGUGAAUCAUGGCUAAGGAACUCGGCAAAAUGGCCCUGUAACUUCGGGAGAAGGGGCGCUGGUAGCAAUAUCAGCCGCAGUGAAAAGGCCCAGGCGACUGUUUAACAAAAACACAUGGCUUUGCAAAAUCGAAAGAUGAAGUAUAAGGCCUGACACCUGCCCGGUGCUGGAAGGUUAAGAGGGGAUGUCAUCCUCACGGAGAAGCAUUGAAUCGAAGCCCCAGUAAACGGCGCCGUAACUAUAACGGUCCUAAGGUAGCGAAAUUCCUUGUCGGGUAAGUUCCGACCUGCACGAAUGGUGUAACGAUCUGGGCGCUGUCUCAGCCAUGAGCUCGGUGAAAUUGUGGUCCCGGUGAAGACGCCGGGUACCCGCAACGGGACGGAAAGACCCCAUGCACCUUCACUACAAUUUAACAUUGACAUUGGAUACAGGAUGUGUAGGAUAGGUGGGAGACUAUGAAGCGGCGUCGCCAGGCGUCGUGGAGUCAACGUUGAAAUACCACCCUUUCUGUAUUCGGUGUCUAACUCGGCCUAGUCGAGGACAUUGUUUGAUGGGUAGUUUGACUGGGGUGGUCGCCUCCAAAAAGGUAACGGAGGCUUUCAAAGGUAAGCUCAAUACGCUUGGUAACCGUAUGAGGAGUGCAAUAGCAUAAGCUUGCUUGACUGUGAGGCAUACAAGCCGAGCAGGGUCGAAAGACGGAUAUAGUGAUCCGGUGGUUCUGCAUGGAAGGGCCAUCGUUCAAAGGAUAAAAGGUACGCUGGGAUAACAGGCUGAUCUCCCCCAAGAGCUCAUAUCGACGGGGAGGUUUGGCACCUCGAUGUCGGCUCGUCACAUCCUGGGGCUGGAGAAGGUCCCAAGGGUUCGGCUGUUCGCCGAUUAAAGUGGCACGCGAGCUGGGUUCAGAACGUCGCGAGACAGUUCGGUCCCUAUCUGUUGUGGGCGUAGGAAUUUUGAGUGGGGCUGACCUUAGUACGAGAGGACCGGGUUGGACUAGCCUCUAGUGAAUCUGUUGUUCCGCCAGGGGCAUUGCAGAGUAGCUACGCUGGGAAUAGAUAAGCGCUGAAAGCAUCUAAGUGCGAAACUAGCCACGAGAUGAGAAUUCCAUAUAGGACCGUAGUAGACUACUACGUUGAUAGGUUACAGAUGUAAAGGUUGUGAGAUCAAAGUCGAGUAAUACUAAUCAUCCA